rnacentral:rRNA from 1 species
UACGAAGGGGGGCUAGCGUUGCUCGGAAUCACUGGGCGUAAAAGGGUGCGUAGGCGGGUCUUUUAAGUCAGGGGUGAAAUCCUGGAGCUCAACUCCAGAACUGCCUUUGAUACUGAAGAUCUUGAGUUCGGGAGAGGUGAGUGGAACUGCGAGUGUAGAGGUGAAAUUCGUAGAUAUUCGCAAGAACACCAGUGGCGAAGGCGGCUCACUGGCCCGAUACUGACGCUGAGGCACGAAAAGCGUGGGGGAGCAAACAGGG